rnacentral:rRNA from 1 species
GACGAACGCUGGCGGCGUGCUUAACACACGCAAGUCGAACGAUGAUGCUCCAGCUUGCUGGGGUGGAUUAGUGGCGAACGGGUGAGUAACACGUGAGUAACCUGCCCCCUUCUUCGGGAUAAGCUUGGGAAACUGGGUCUAAUACUGGAUAUUCUGCAAUUGUCGCAUGGUGGUUGUGGGAAAGAUUUUUUGGUGGGGGAUGGGCUCGCGGCCUAUCAGCUUGUUGGUGGGGUGAUGGCCUACCAAGGCGUCGACGGGUAGCCGGCCUGAGAGGGUGACCGGCCACACUGGGACUGAGAUACGGCCCAGACUCCUACGGGAGGCAGCAGUGGGGAAUAUUGCACAAUGGGCGCAAGCUUGAUGCAGCGACGCCGCGUGAGGGAUGACGGCUUUCGGGUUGUAAACCUCUUUCGAUGGGGAACAAGGCCAUAUUUUUGUGUGGUUGAGGGUACCUGUAUAAGAAGCGCCGGCUAACUACGUG